rnacentral:rRNA from 1 species
AGAGUUUGAUCCUGGCUCAGAUUGAACGCUGGCGGCAUGCCUUACACAUGCAAGUCGAACGGUAACGCGGGGCAACCUGGCGACGAGUGGCGAACGGGUGAGUAACGCAUCGGAACGUGCCCAGUAGUGGGGGAUAGCCCGGCGAAAGCCGGAUUAAUACCACAUACGACCUACGGGUGAAAGCGGGGGACCGUAAGGCCUCGCGCUAUUGGAGCGGCCGAUGUCAGAUUAGGUAGUUGGUGGGGUAAAAGCCUACCAAGCCGACGAUCUGUAGCUGGUCUGAGAGGACGACCAGCCACACUGGGACUGAGACACGGCCCAGACUCCUACGGGAGGCAGCAGUGGGGAAUUUUGGACAAUGGGCGCAAGCCUGAUCCAGCCAUGCCGCGCGCGGGAUGAAGGCCUUCGGGUUGUAAACCGCUUUUGUCAGGGAAGAAACGCUCCGGGCCAAUACCCUGGGGUAAUGACGGUACCUGAAGAAUAAGCACCGGCUAACUACGUGCCAGCAGCCGCGGUAAUACGUAGGGUGCAAGCGUUAAUCGGAAUUACUGGGCGUAAAGCGUGCGCAGGCGGUUUUGUAAGACAGAGGUGAAAUCCCCGGG